rnacentral:rRNA from 1 species
AUGGGGCGCUGCAGUGAAGCUCCGCCGGCGGCGCCGUCGGGUGUUGCUAUGAAGCUUGUCACGCCGGUACGGGCUGCAGUGAAACAUCAUCGUCGGUGUCAGGUGCUGCUAUGGAGCAUCGAUGGACCGCCGCCACGCCGACGUCGGUGCUGCAGUGAAGCAUCGCCGACGCAGCGGGUGCUGCUAUGGAGCGCGGGAGAGUGUGGUGGGGGCGUUGAAACUUCGUCGCUGCUGUGCGGCACUGCCAUGGGGCUGCUGCCAGCCAUGGACUGCUGCGUAUUGUGUUGGCUGAUCCUGCGGCCGGGGAGCAUGUGA